ACCUAAUGAUGAAGCUGAGGAUUCUGAAGAUGAUAAACCAUUGAGUGCUAGGCUUUCUUCUGGGUUAUCUAAGAGCAUUUCUAGUCAUGCCAACAAAGUGCUUGGUACUUCAGCAUCAAUUCAAAAGUCUAGACCUCCCAAGAAAGAGGAUUCAGAUGAUGCAACAAAGUGCUUGGUACUUCAGCAUCAGUUCAAAAGUCUAGACCUCCCAAGAAAGAGGAUUCAGAUGAUGAAAUUCCCUUAGCGUCAAGGUUUCAAUUGAAGUCCAAUGCAGGGGCUUCCACGAGCAAGUCUUCUAAUUCUGAAGAAGUUAAGCCUAAAAUUCGGCAAAAUGGUUUGCCAUC
rnacentral:lncRNA from 1 species